rnacentral:rRNA from 1 species
GGGUUGUGAGGUUAAUCGACUAAGCGUACACGGUGGAUGAACUGGCAGUCAGAGGGGAUGAAGGACGUGCUAAUCUGCGAAAAGAGCCGGCGAGGUGAUAUGAGCCAGUGCCCCGGCG